rnacentral:rRNA from 1 species
GACGAACGCUGGCGGCGUGCCUAACACAUGCAAGUCGAACGCAGUUGCGAACGGGUGAGUAACGCGUAGGUAACUGCCCCAUUGCGGGGGGUAACCAUUGGAAAAGAUAGCUAAUUCCGCCAUCUUUGAGCUGGAUCUGCGUUGUAUUAGCUAGUUGGGGAGGGAAAGGCUCACCAAGGCGACGAUACAUAGCCGACCUGAGAGGGUGAGCAUCCCCUCUGGGGCUGAGACACGGCCCAGACUCCGACUCAAACCAUCAUUAAUCAAUCUUCGGAAAGUGACGGAAGGCUGACCUAGCAAAGCCGCGUGAGUGAAGAAGUUUUUCGGAUCAUUAAACUCUGUUGUUAGAGAAGCGGUAACUAACCAGAAAGGGACGGCUAACUACGUGCCAGCAGCCGCGGUAAUUC